rnacentral:tmRNA from 1 species
GGGGGUGUAAAGGUUUCGACAGGGAUUUUGAAAUAAGCUAAGCGUGUCGUGUCGGUCACUCACGUUAAAGGACCAGUUUAUUAAAAAUAAACGCUAAUAAAUACGAACAACCGGCUCUUUUAGCUGCCUAAGGGUAGCGGAGCCUGUCCGACUCUGUUAAUCGGCGGCAGAGAUUCGGGCAUCAUUUAAGCCGGUGAACGGUUUUUUCUGCUCUGCUCGUGCGGAGAAAACAGGUAUAAUCGGGCUGCUUGUGCAAAAGUUUGAAUGUUGACGUUUGUAUGAAAAGAUAAAAAAUAUUCUACACACGUAGAAAAGUUUACGGAUAGAUUUUUGGACACGAGUUCAAUUCUCGUCACCUCCAA